CCCUUAGAUGCUCUGGGCCGCACGCGCGCUACACUGAUGCAUUCAACGAGUCUAAAACCUGGUCUGAGAGGGCUGGGUAAUCUUUUGAAAGUGCAUCGUGAUUGGGAUAGAUGAUUGCAAUUCUUCAUCUUCAACGAGGAAUGCCUAGUAAACGCAAGUCAUCAGCUUGCAUUGAUUACGUCCCUGCCCUUUGUACACACCGCCCGUCGCUCCUACCGAUUGAACGAUCCGAUGAAAACUGUGGAUUGAGAGUCUGAGUGGGUUCGCCUACCUCAACUUUCGAGAAGCGGUUUAAAUCUUAUCGUUUAGAGGAAGGAGAAGUCGUAACA
rnacentral:rRNA from 1 species